rnacentral:rRNA from 1 species
UCUAAGUAUAAGCAAUUAUACCGUGAAACUGCGAAUGGCUCAUUAAAUCAGUUAUCGUUUAUUUGAUAGUACCUUACUACUUGGAUAACCGUGGUAAUUCUAGAGCUAAUACAUGCUGAAAACCUCGACUUCGGAAGAGGUGUAUUUAUUAGAUAAAAAACCAAUGCCCUUCGGGGCUCCCUGGUGAUUCAUGAUAACUUCUCAGAUCGCAUGGCCUUGCGCCGGCGACGGUUCAUUCAAAUUUCUGCCCUAUCAACUUUCGAUGGUAAGGUAUUGGCUUACCAUGGUUUCAACGGGUAACGGGGAAUUAGGGUUCGAUUCCGGAGAAGGGGCCCGAGAAACGGCCACUACAUCCAAGGAAGGCAGCAGGCGCGCAAAUUACCCAAUCCCGAUACGGGAGGUAGUGGCAAUAAAUACUGAUACAGGGCUCUUUUGGGGCUUGUAAUUGGAAUGAGUCCAAUUUAAACCUCUUAACGAGGACCAAUUGGAGGGCAAGUCUGGUGCCAGCAGCCGCGGUAAUUCCAGCUCCAAUAGCGUAUAUUAAAGUUGUUGCAGUUAAAAAGCUCGUAGUUGAACCUUGGGCCUGGUGGCAGGUCCGCCUCACCGCGUGUACUUGACCGGCCGGGCCUUCUCUUCUGGAGAACCUCAUGCCCUUUACUGGGCGUGUUGGGGACCAGGACUUUUACUUUGAAAAAAUUAGAGUGUUCAAAGCAGGCCUUUGCUCGAAUAUGUUAGCAUGGAAUAAUAGAAUAGGACGUGCGGUCCUAUUUUGUUGGUUUCUAGGACCGCCGUAAUGAUUAAUAGGGACAGUCGGGGGCAUCAGUAUUCAAUUGUCAGAGGUGAAAUUCUUGGAUUAAUUGAAGACUAACUACUGCGAAGCAUUUGCCAAGGAUGUUUCAUUAAUCAGUGAACGAAAGUAAGGGGAUCGAAGACGAUCA